UACCGAGGGUGCGAGCGUUAAUCGGAUUUACUGGGCGUAAAGCGUGUGUAGGUGGCUCGCUAAGUCGAUUGUGAAAGCCCUGGGCUCAACCUGGGAAUUGCAGUCGAUACUGGUGAGCUAGAGUUCGGUAGAGGGUGACGGAAUUCCCGGUGUAGCGGUGAAAUGCGUAGAUAUCCGGAGGAACACCGGUGGCGAAGGCGGAUUCCUGGAGCGACUACUGACGCUGAGGCGCGAAAGCUAGGGGAGCAAACGGG
rnacentral:rRNA from 1 species